CCUACGGGGGGCUGCAGUGAGGAAUAUUGGUCAAUGGGCGCGAGCCUGAACCAGCCAAGUAGCGUGAAGGAUGACUGCCCUACGGGUUGUAAACUUCUUUUAUAAAGGAAUAAAGUGAGGCACGUGUGCCUUUUUGUGUGUACUUUAUGAAUAAGGAUCGGCUAACUCCGUGCCAGCAGCCGCGGUAAGACGGAGGCGCCGAGCGUUGUCCGGAUUUAUUGGGUUUAAAGGGUGCGUAGCUGGGUUGGUAAGUCAGGUGUGAAAGUUUGGGGCUCAACCGGAAAAUUGCAAUUGAUACUGGGAGACUUGAGUACAGUAGAGGUAGGCGGAAUUCGUGGUGUAGCAGUGAAAUGCGUAGAUAUCACGAAGAACUCUGAUUGCGAAGGCGGGUUACUAGACUGCAACUGACAUUGAGGCUCGAAGGUGUGGGUAUCAAACAGGAUUAGAUACCCCGGUAGUC
rnacentral:rRNA from 1 species